rnacentral:misc_RNA from 1 species
GAGAUCUGUGCCAGAAAAUGACAAGCGAAUACGCAAAUCACGAGGUGAUUUUUUAUGACCAGCUUAAAAUAUCACCACCCCAACCCAUGCUUCUCAUCAUGAGGCCGCCCUCUGUUGUUGUUUUUGUUCUUCUUAAUUAACAACUAUAAAUUUUUUUUUUUUUUUUUUAAAAAAAGGUUUUUUCCGGGGGUUUUCUUGUUUUUUGGUUUCCACCCGUUUUUUUAAAUGAGCGGACGCUAUUGAUUAGGCUACACAGCGCACCUAAGGAACCACCCCAUCAAAAUCAAAC